rnacentral:misc_RNA from 1 species
AAAUUUCCAUUAAUCUUCUUAACACAAAGACAUGCUCUAUUGUAAAUCUACAAGGCCUAAAGUAAAACUAGUUCUCUGAUAUUUUAAUAGUGUCCCUAGCAUCAACAAUAUCUUCAAUUUUUUUGAAAUCAAUUCAAUUUCACAUCAACCAAAUAACAAACAUACAAUACAUUUUAUUAGGCAUACAACUCUGCUAGUAAUCAUAACUGACAUAAGAGCAAGGGUGUAAAUGAACUAGUGCAAUCAGUGAACAACUCGUGAACAUGCUCGAUAAAAGCUUGUUUAUUAAGUUAAAUGAACAAGUUUGAAUAAUAAAUUUAAUAUUAAUUCAAACUUUGAUCUAAAUUAAUAAACAAAUUAACAUUAGCAUAAGCAAGCGUAGCUUGAAUAUGUUCAUGAACUCAU